rnacentral:rRNA from 1 species
GACGAACGCUGGCGGCGUGCUUAACACAUGCAAGUCGAACGGCAAGGCCCUACGAUCUUGCUCUUCUCGAUUGGCGAAGGCGUGAGGAACAGGUGAGUAACGUGCCCUUGAUUUUGGGAUGACUUCAGGAAAGUGAGGCUACUACCGUAUAGCAUACCCUGCUCCAUUGUGGGGGUUGGAACGUUUCGGCUGUCGGGGAUGGACGGGCGGCUUAUGGGCUUGUUGGUUGGGGAGGGGCUGACCAAGGCUUUGAAGGAUAGCCGGCCUGUGAGGGUGACCGGCGACAUUGGGACUGCGAGACGGCGCAGACUCGUACGGUAGACAGCAGUCGGGAAUAUUGUACAGUGGGCGGAAGCCUGAUGCAGAAGCGCUGCGUUCGGGAUGACGGCCUUCGGGUUGUGAACAGCUGUAGCCUGUGACGAAGCGUGAGUGACGGUAAUGGGUAAAGAAGCACCGGCUAACUACGUG